rnacentral:rRNA from 1 species
GCCGGUAGCCAUAGCGGAAGGGAAACACCUCUUCCCAUUUCGAACAGAGCAGUUAAGCCUUCCUGCGCCGAUGGUACUGCUGGGGUCACCCAGUGGAAGAGUAGGUCGUUGCCGGCG